GACGAACGCUGGCGGCGUGCUUAACACAUGCAAGUCGAACGGUGAAAGGGAGCUUGCUCCCUGGAUCAGUGGCGAACGGGUGAGUAACACGUGGGCAACCUGCCCCAGACUUCGGGAUAACGCUUCGAAAGAGGUGCUAAUACCGGAUACGAACUCCUUGGGCAUCCUUGGAGUUGGAAAGUUCUUCGGUCUGGGAUGGGCCCGCGGCCUAUCAGCUUGUUGGUGAGGUAACGGCUCACCAAGGCGACGACGGGUAGCCGGCCUGAGAGGGCGACCGGCCACACUGGGACUGAGACACGGCCCAGACUCCUACGGGAGGCAGCAGUGGGGAAUAUUGCGCAAUGGGCGAAAGCCUGACGCAGCAACGCCGCGUGAGGGAUGACGGCCUUCGGGUUGUAAACCUCUCUCAGCAGGGAAGAAGCGAAAGUGACGGUACCUGCAGAAGAAGCACCGGCUAACUACGUGCCAGCCGCCGCCGUAA
rnacentral:rRNA from 1 species